rnacentral:tRNA from 1 species
GGUUCCAUAGUGUAGCGGUUAGCACAUCUGCUUUACACGCAGAAGGUCCUGGAUUGGUACCCCAGUGGAGCUA